CGUCUAGUUAGCAACUAUACGGUGAAACUGCGAAUGGCUCAUUAAAUCAGUUAUCGUUUAUUUGAUAGUACCUUACUACAUGGAUAACCGUGGUAAUUCUAGAGCUAAUACAUGCUAAAAACCUCGACUUCGGAAGGGGUGUAUUUAUUAGAUAAAAAACCAAUGCCCUUCGGGGCUCCUUGGUGAAUCAUAAUAACUUAACGAAUCGCAUGGCCUUGCGCCGGCGAUGGUUCAUUCAAAUUUCUGCCCUAUCAACUUUCGAUGGUAGGAUAGUGGCCUACCAUGGUAUCAACGGGUAACGGGGAAUUAGGGUUCGACUCCGGAGAGGGAGCCUGAGAAACGGCUACCACAUCCAAGGAAGGCAGCAGGCGCGCAAAUUACCCAAUCCCGACACGGGGAGGUAGUGACAAUAAAUACUGAUACAGGGCUCUUUUGGGUCUUGUAAUUGGAAUGAGUACAAUUUAAAUCCCUUAACGAGGAACAAUUGGAGGGCAAGUCUGGUGCCAGCAGCCGCGGUAAUUCCAGCUCCAAUAGCGUAUAUUAAAGUUGUUGCAGUUAAAAAGCUCGUAGUUGAACCUUGGGCCUGGCUGGCCGGUCCGCCUCACCGCGUGUACUGGUCCGGCCGGGCCUUUCCUUCUGGGGAACCUCAUGCCCUUCACUGGGCGUGUUGGGGAACCAGGACUUUUACUUUGAAAAAAUUAGAGUGUUCAAAGCAGGCCUUUGCUCGAAUACAUUAGCAUGGAAUAAUAGAAUAGGGACGUGUGGUUCUAUUUUGUUGGUUUCUAGGACCGCCGUAAUGAUUAAUAGGGGAUAGUCGGGGGGCAUCAGUAUUCAAUCGUCAGAGGUGAAAUUCUUGGAUUGAUUGAAGACUAACUACUGCGAAAGCAUUUGCCAAGGAUGUUUUCAUUAAUCAGUGAACGAAAGUAAGGGGAUCGAAGACGAUCAGAUACCGUCGUAGUCUUAACCAUAACUAUGCCGACAAGGGAUCGGACGGGGGUAGGAUUUUGACCCGUUCGGACCUAC
rnacentral:rRNA from 1 species